UCUUCUUUUCCUCUUCUGUUUUCAGAGAAUUAACUAGGCUUCAAAAUGAAAGUGAGGAAGAAGAGUCCUGGAAAGUAUUAAUUUGAACAGGAAUUAUUGAUGGAUGGGAGCUCAUCAAUUUGAAGAGGUAUACAUGCAGGAAGAUUUGGAGCUUUCAUGAUUGAGGACUGCUAAAAUAAAGUGGCCAUGAAAAAGACAAAUCGAGUCUUGGGAUGCAUCAGACAGAGGAAAUCCAAGAGAGAAAU